UCCCCUGCAGUCCAUACAUCCCCAGCCGUGCACCUUCUCAUCCUCCCCUUCAGAUAACACUUAUCUUAUCUGUGAGGUCCUUCUCCUUCUGUAGACCUGCAUCCUUAGAAUACAGAGCAGGGGGGAGGGGAGGUAAGGAGCUGUGUACUCAGCUGGAUGAGAUGAGGGGGCGUGGCUUAUUCCUCUCAUGUCGACAGAGAAAAAAAAAGCUGUGACAUCUCGUCAACAACAGACUCAGAACUGUGGACAACAGUAAAAGAAAACACGCGGAACUACAGAACUUCCUGUACAAACAGCUGACCAAUGACAGACUUAUUGUCCAAAAAGAAGUUGGGCAUUUUCGAUCGAAAGCCUGAUGAAGUAGUGCAAACCACGAAGCACGGGGGUCCCAUGGUACCAUGUCUGCUCCAGGCUGGCAGAAGUCCAAACUCAGGAAAUGUGUGCCGGUCAUGGCAAGGCACAGGUCUCGCAGGCUUCAGUGAUGUUGCACCUGCUGGGGAACACCCACUUUCUCCUGCCGGGAGAUCACAUAAUAUGAGCACUGGGGAAAGGGAAUUUAAGGAAACUGUGUAAGGGAAAUACUGACCAGUCAUCUCUGUGAAACCAUCAAUGAUCUGUAUGGAUCGAAGAUUGCCUGAAAGAUUUGUUAAAGUAGGGUUUCCAAAAAUGUCAUGUUUUUUCCAUC